rnacentral:rRNA from 1 species
AGGGAAUCUUCCGCAAUGGACGAAAGUCUGACGGAGCAACGCCGCGUGAGUGAUGAAGGUCUUCGGAUUGUAAAACUCUGUCAUUAGGGAAGAACAAGUAUUAGUUAAAUAAGCUAGUACCUUGACGGUACCUAAGGAGGAAGCCCCGGCUAACUACGUGCCAGCAGCCGCGGUAAUACGUAGGGGGCAAGCGUUGUCCGGAAUUAUUGGGCGUAAAGCGCGCGCAGGCGGUCCUUUAAGUCUGAUGUGAAAGCCCACGGCUCAACCGUGGAGGGUCAUUGGAAACUGGAGGACUUGAGUGCAGGAGAGGAAAGUGGAAUUCCACGUGUAGCGGUGAAAUGCGUAGAUAUGUGGAGGAACACCAGUGGCGAAGGCGACUUUCUGGCCUGUAACUGACGCUGAGGCGCGAAAGCGUGGGGAGCAAAC